rnacentral:rRNA from 1 species
AUUGAACGCUGGCGGCAGGCCUAACACAUGCAAGUCGAACGGUAACAGGAAGACGCUUGCUUCUUUGCUGACGAGUGGCGGACGGGUGAGUAAUGUCUGGGAAACUGCCUGAUGGAGGGGGAUAACUACUGGAAACGGUAGCUAAUACCGCAUAACGUCGCAAGACCAAAAAGGGGGACCUUCGGGCCUCUUGCCAUCGGAUGUGCCCAGAUGGGAUUAGCUAGUAGGUGGGGUAAAGGCUCACCUAGGCGACGAUCCCUAGCUGGUCUGAGAGGAUGACCAGCCACACUGGAACUGAGACACGGUCCAGACUCCUACGGGAGGCAGCAGUGGGGAAUAUUGCACAAUGGGCGCAAGCCUGAUGCAGCCAUGCCGCGUGUAUGAAGAAGGCCUUCGGGUUGUAAAGUACUUUCAGCGGGGAGGAAGGGAGUAAAGUUAAUACCUUUGCUCAUUGACGUUACCCGAAGAAGAAGCACCGGCUAACUCCGUG